rnacentral:rRNA from 1 species
ACGCUCGACACCUACGGGAGCAGCAGUAGGGAACUUUCGUCAAUGGGGGGAACCCUGAACGAGCAAUGCCGCGUGAGCGAAGAAGGUCUUCGGAUCGUAAAGCUCUGUUGUAAGAGAAAAACGAGCGCCAUAGGGAAUGAUGGAGCAGUGAUGGUAUCUUACCAGAAAGCCACGGCUAACUACGUGCCAGCACGCCGGACGGUAAUCUGAGGCGGGCGUGGACGAAGGC